AGGUUACUGCUAUCGGUGUUCGCCUAAGCCAUGCGAGUCAUAUGUUCUUCGUGAACAUGGCGUACUGCUCAGUAACACGUGGAUAACCUGCCCUUGGGUCCGGCAUAACCCCGGGAAACUGGGGAUAAUUCCGGAUAACGCACAUAUGCUGGAAUGCUUUAUGCGUCAAAUGGAUUCGUCUGCCCAAGGAUGGGUCUGCGGCCUAUCAGGUAGUAGUGGGUGUAAUGUACCUACUAGCCUACGACGGGUACGGGUUGUGAGAGCAAGAGCCCGGAGAUGGAUUCUGAGACAUGAAUCCAGGCCCUACGGGGCGCAGCAGGCGCGAAAACUUUACAAUGCGGGAAACCGUGAUAAGGGGACACCGAGUGCCAGCAUCAUAUGCUGGCUGUCCGGGUGUGUAAAAUACACCUGUUAGCAAGGGCCGGGCAAGACCGGUGCCAGCCGCCGCGGUAACACCGGCGGCCCGAGUGGUGAUCGUGAUUAUUGGGUCUAAAGGGUCCGUAGCCGGUUUGGUCAGUCCUCCGGGAAAUCUGACGGCUUAACCGUUAGGCUUUCGGGGGAUACUGCCAGACUUGGAACCGGGAGAGGUAAGAGGUACUACAGGGGUAGGAGUGAAAUCUUGUAAUCCCUGUGGGACCACCUGUGGCGAAGGCGUCUUACCAGAACGGGUUCGACGGUGAGGGACGAAAGCUGGGGGCACGAACCGGAUUAGAUACCCGGGUAGUCCCAGCCGUAAACGAUGCUCGCUAGGUGUCAGGCAUGGCGCGACCGUGUCUGGUGCCGCAGGGAAGCCGUGAAGCGAGCCACCUGGGAAGUACGGCCGCAAGGCUGAAACUUAA
rnacentral:rRNA from 1 species